GCGGCGGGGCGUCCGGGCGGAAAGUCCAGCGCACCGCGGACGGUGGAAGGCUGAGGCUCAGGACACAAGGCACAGCCAGGGAGGACCUGGUAGUUACUGGUCUCAAGACCUCAGGCCUGCACGGGCGUCCAUGCGCACUGGGCCUUCCCCUGGGUCUCAGGCAAGUCUGCUGUGAUCACGUUGUCAGCUGUGCUGGAUCUUUUCUGUUUUCUCUCCUGUGACCAGCCCUGGACCUCGCUUCCUAGGACCCGACUCUCCACAAAGCCAGUGCUCUUUCAGACUGUGGUCUUGGGGAACACUGAUGUUCUGCCAGCUGGUUCCCAGUGUUCCAUCACCAAGAUGAGCAACGCUGGUCUUUUCCUUGGGAAAAAAAAUGAGCAGGGUUGUCCAAAGAAGCGGCUGCCCAAUGUAGAUCCUCUGAGAAUACUGUGCAUUUCUCAGCUGCCCUCGGCCUGGUCAUGUGAACCAGUUCUGGGAAAAAGACACUACUACUCCCAGGUCUUGCCCGUGAAAAUUUCCACACAUGAUGCUCCAUGUUCUUUUCCACCUUAUGGCUGGACCUUGACACUUUGGGCAUCAUUGAAAGCCGACAGCUGAAGCUGGCCCAGUGCCCAUCAGACUGGUGAUUCGAUGGCCAGGAACCCACUCAGGUACCUGUUAACGGACAUGGGGAGAUAGAGAGGAGAAGGGAGUUGGUGGAAAUUGGAAGGGGAGGUGAACCAUGAGAGACUAUGGACUCUGAAAAACAAUCUGAGGCUUUUGAAGGGGCGGGUGGGAGGUUGGGGUACCAGGUGGUGGGUAUUAGAGAGGGCACGGAUUGCAUGGAGCACUGGGUGUGGUGCAAAAACAAUGAAUACUGUUGUGCUGAAAAUAAAAAAUAAAUAAAAAAAUACAUCUUCAAUGUGGUAAGUUACUGGCAUCUUGUGGUUUAUCGUAAUAGUAUCCCAACGAAACAUGGGAGAAUCCCAGAUGCCUCAUUAUAGGUGAAAG
rnacentral:lncRNA from 1 species